rnacentral:lncRNA from 1 species
AUUGCAUACAUGUCCCCCUGAAUAUAGUGAAUUACAAAUAUUUUUCUAUAAAAUUUAAUUUUUAUAAAUUAUUUAUGUAAAAAUUCUAAUGUUUUAAGAUAUAUACCGUUAGAAAAUUUUUUACAUUUCUAAUUUUGUGAUCACAAAUAUGUCCCUCCAAAAAUUAUAACAGUAUAACAUAAGAAGGGUAAAAAGAUCAAAAAUUAACUAGGAUUAACUAUUUAAUCUAUAGUUAACUAAACUUUUCUAACGAAUUCUAACAAUAAGGACAUAUCUGAAAAUAUUAGGACAUUUACAUGAAUAAUUUAUGAAAGUUUAACUUUACAGGGUUAUAUUUAUAAUUUACUAUAUUUAAUUUAUGAAAGUUUAACUUUACAGGGUUAUAUAUAUAUAGUCCGGCUAUGGUGCCUGUAAAAGCACCAAGCACUUCGUGCUUGUAAAUUUUUUACCGUUAGAUCUAUGCCUCGGAUCAUUUUCAUCCGUUAGAUUAUACUUUCAACCAAUCAUCCACUCAACCCUGUAAGGCCCACAUCAUCCUAACUGCACAUUCCUUAAUCUAAGGGCCGAAAAUUUACAAGCACCAAUGACUUGGUACUUUUAAAAGUAUAGGAGCUCAAUUAUAUAUAUGUAGGGUCUGUUUGGUUCAUACUGUGAAAAAUAAUUUCGAUGGAAAAAAAAAGUUUUAAGUUUUGUAUUGUUUAGUUUGAAGGGGGAAAAAAAUAAUUUUUUAUUAAUAUUUAUUUGGUUGAAAGAAAAAAAAUUGGUGGAAAAAAAUAAAUGAAAAUAAAAUUAAGCUGCUCGAGUUUUCGUUUUUUGCCGAAAAAUAGUGAAAAAUGAAAGCUUCAAUUUUUCUCCAAACCUGUAAAAAUACUUUUACGGCUAAUCAAACAAGUAAAAAAGCUUAAUUAGCUUAUUAAGCUAAUUAGUAAUUGAAAAGAAAAAUAUUUUUUUAAAAUGUUAAAAAAUAGUAUGACGAUUUAGAUUUAGUAAAUUAGGCUUAGUUUGGUAUUGAGGCCUAUCUAACGUUAUUAGAUAAAAUGGAGUUGAGAAAAAAACAUAUAGGGAUAUGCUUCUGCGUUCUCCGGUAGGACCGCAGAAAAUAUAUAGUGACUGACUCAUCGCGAUAUGCGGAAUACAAUAUUACGUACAGAAACAAACAUGGUAUUUUUCGAACGUACUUUCUCACCGCACGUAACGCAAUCUCUCCGUAAUCCCAAACGAAGCCUUAGUGAAACGAAGACCGAGUGAAUGAUAUUUUUAGGUAAAAAUGUAUAUAUUUUAUUUAAAUUGUAGCAUGUUUUGAAGUAAGUAUUUGUGCUUCAAAAUUUUUAAUUUUUUAACCUAAUAUUUUAUUAUUUAUUUCAAAUAAAAAUUUAAGAAAUUUUUUAUCAAAUUCAAAUAGAAUUUCAU